rnacentral:lncRNA from 1 species
UAAUUAGUGGAGACUGGAGAGUAUCAUUGCUUGUAAAUGUUCUCCAACUUUGAACUAUAAAAGGUAGCACCUCUUAUCAAUCUUGGUAACCUUGUAAUGAAAUCCAUAGAAAUGCAUUCCCUCUUUUGUUCACGUAUUCCAACAAGUAGAAGUAAACUUGCAAGCUUUUAGCGCUUAGCCUUUACUUGCUAGGUGAAUUAUAAAACAAAGGAUGAUGAACCUCCUCUUAAUAAUUUUCUCCUUAAUU